rnacentral:rRNA from 1 species
GAUGAACGCUGGCGGCGUGCUUAACACAUGCAAGUCGAACGAGAAAUGUAGACGGAAACCUUCGGGCGGAAGCCUUCAUUUCGAGUGGCGGACGGGUGGGUAACGCGUGGGUAACCUGCCUCAUACAGGGGGAUAACAGUUGGAAACGACUGUUAAUACCGCAUAAGACCACAGCAUCGCAUGAUGCAGGGGUAAAAACUCCGGUGGUAUGAGAUGGACCCGCGUUCGAUUAGCCAGUUGGCGGGGUAACGGCCCACCAAAGCGACGAUCGAUAGCCGAUCUGAGAGGAUGACCGGCCACAUUGGGACUGAGACACGGCCCAAACUCCUACGGGAGGCAGCAGUGGGGAAUAUUGCACAAUGGGGGAAACCCUGAUGCAGCGACGCCGCGUGAGUGAAGAAGUACUUCGGUAUGUAAAGCUCUAUCAGCAGGGAAGAAAAUGACGGUACCUGAGUAAGAAGCCCCGGCUAACUACGUG